ACUCAAUAGAUACCCGGGUAGUCCACGCCCUAAACGAUGACAACUGGCUAUAAGGAGUAUCGACCCUCUUUGUGGCGAAAGCUAAACGCGUUAAGUUGUCCGCCUGGGUAGUACGGCCGCAAGGCUAAAACUCAAAGGAAUAGACGGGGACUUGCACAAGCGGUGGAUCAUGCGGCUCAAUUCGAUGACAAACGAAGAACCUCACCAGGGUUUGAAACCCAGACGAUCGCUCUAGGAAACUAGAGCUUCCGCAAGGCGGCUGGGCAGGUGAUGCAUGGUCGUCGUCAGUUUGUGGCUUGAGUUGUUCCCUCAGUGGGGUAACGAACGCAACCCUCGUUGCCUGUUUUAAAAGUCAGGCGAGACUGCCCCCUCACGGGGGAGGAAGGUGAGGAUGACGCCAGAUCAGCAUGUCCCUCUGAUAUCCUGGGCUGCACGCAUGAUACAAUGGACGGGACAACGGGUCGCGACGGAGUAAUCCUGAGCUAAUCCUUAGAACUGUCCCCAGUUCGGAUUGAGGGCUGCAACUCGCCCUC
rnacentral:rRNA from 1 species